rnacentral:sRNA from 1 species
AGGUGCAGUGGCAUGCACCUGGAGCCCAGCUGCUCGGGUGAUUGAGGCAGAAGGAUCACUUGAGACCAGGAGUCAGAGACCAGCCUGAGCAACAUAGUGAGACCCUGUCUCAA